rnacentral:rRNA from 1 species
GUGAAGCGGCAAGAGCUCAAAUUUGAAAGCUGGCUCCUUCGGGGUCCGCAUUGUAAUUUGUAGAGGAUGCUUCGGGAGCGGUCCCCAUCUAAGUGCCCUGGAACGGGACGUCAUAGAGGGUGAGAAUCCCGUAUGGGAUGGGGUGUCCGCGCCCGUGUGAAGCUCCUUCGACGAGUCGAGUUGUUUGGGAAUGCAGCUCUAAAUGGGUGGUAAAUUUCAUCUAAAGCUAAAUAUUGGCCGGAGACCGAUAGCGCACAAGUAGAGUGAUCGAAAGAUGAAAAGCACUUUGAAAAGAGAGUUAAAAAGCACGUGAAAUUGUUGAAAGGGAAGCGCUUGCGACCAGACUCGCUCGCGGGGUUCAGCCGGCAUUCGUGCCGGUGUACUUCCCCGCGGGCGGGCCAGCGUCGGUUUGGGCGGUCGGUCAAAGGCCCUCGGAAGGUAACGCCCCUAGGGGCGUCUUAUAGCCGAGGGUGCAAUGCGACCUGCCUAGACCGAGGAACGCGCUUCGGUUCGAGACGCUGGAUAAUGGAACGUAAACGGACCCGUCUUGAAACUCGGU